rnacentral:misc_RNA from 1 species
AUAUUUAAAUAUUUCAUCAAUCAUAAAUAUGAAAUUUUUUUUUGCUAAUUCAGUUCAUAGGAAAAUAACAAAAUAAUUUUCAGAAAAUAGCACCUAGUAAUUUCAUAUAUACAUAUGUGGUGCAUUCUUUUAUCUUCACUGUUAGUGUUUAGAAUUAUUUGUUAUUAAUUAUCAUAUCAAAAUAAUUAUCUUUUUGUUAAAUAAGUAAAAAAAAAAAAU